rnacentral:misc_RNA from 1 species
CUGAGUGAGGGCCCUCUGGGUCCAACCUCCCACCCGUGUUUAUUAUACCUUGUUGCUUCGGUGGGCCCGCCGUAAGGCCGCCGGGGGGCUUCUGCUCCCGGGCCCGCGCCCGCCGAAGACAUCUCGAACUCUGUCUGAAGAUUGUAGUCUGAGUAUAAAUAUAAAUUAUUUA